UUAGUGGUGAUUCAGUGGUAGAAUUCUUGCCUUCCAUGUAGGAGAUCCAGGCUUGAUUCCUGACCAGUGCA
rnacentral:tRNA from 1 species